AGCGAACGCUGGCGGCAGGCUUAACACAUGCAAGUCGAGCGCCGUAGCAAUACGGAGCGGCAGACGGGUGAAUAACACGUGGGAACGUACCUUUUGGUUCGGAACAACACAGGGAAACUUGUGCUAAUACCGGAUAAGCCCUUACGGGGAAAGAUUUAUCGCCGAAAGAUCGGCCCGCGUCUGAUUAGCUAGUUGGUGAGGUAACGGCUCACCAAGGCGACGAUCAGUAGCUGGUCUGAGAGGAUGAUCAGCCACACUGGGACUGAGACACGGCCCAGACUCCUACGGGAGGCAGCAGUGGGGAAUAUUGGACAAUGGGCGCAAGCCUGAUCCAGCCAUGCCGCGUGAGUGAUGAAGGCCCUAGGGUUGUAAAGCUCUUUUGUGCGGGAAGAUAAUGACUGUACCGCAAGAAUAAGCCCCGGCUAACUUCGUGCCAGCCGCCGCCGUAAAAC
rnacentral:rRNA from 1 species